AUUUCUGGUGACCACAACAGAGCUUUAGAUGAUAGAGAUGCUGUCUCAGGCCUGAGAGAGGGUCAAGCUACGGGAAUCCUGAGACCUCUGGUGCCACUGUGUGCAUCUUCAGCUCAGAAACAGAAUCAGCUCUUCUGAAGUUCCAAGGCCACACCCCACCAGUGCGGUGGAACCUGUUGGGAUUCAGGAUGAUUCUGAAAUAACAUCACAAUCUAUAGGACUGUGGCCAGAGGACUUUCUCUGGGGCUUUCCCAGCAGGGAAGAAAAUUAGAACAAGCACUAAUGCAUUCUGAUCCUUUCUGGCAUCUAAUUCAACCAUAGAAGAAGUUCUCAGAGGAAUCCUGGAACCCUGUAACACCCAGAAAGGUAUCCAAGUGUCUGAACAGUCCCUGGCACUAGACUUCUGACUUCAGCUUCUGCUUUGGCUGUUCUCCAAUUAUUUUGAAUCCUGCCUACGCUGAACUGCUGCCAUAAUAGCUCUAAACCAAGUGGUUCUCACAUUAAGCUAGCAUAGGACAUUUGUACAAAUAUUGUCAGACCCAAAGAACUGCCCAGAAGAACCCAGCUAAAACUCUGCCCCACAGAAGUUGCUGGCCCACAGAUUCACAAACUAAAUAUAUGUGUUGAUUUC